CCUACGGGAGGCAGCAGUGCGGAAUAUUGGUCAAUGGACGAGAGUCUGAACCAGCCAAGUAGCGUGAAGGAUGACUGCCCUAUGGGUUGUAAACUUCUUUUAUAUGGGAAUAAAACGUUCCACGUGUGGGAUUUUGUAUGUACCAUAUGAAUAAGGAUCGGCUAACUCCGUGCCAGCAGCCGCGGUAAUACGGAGGGUCCGAGCGUUAUCCGGAUUUAUUGGGUUUAAAGGGAGCGUAGGUGGAUUGUUAAGUCAGUUGUGAAAGUUUGCGGCUCAACCGUAAAAUUGCAGUUGAAACUGGCAGUCUUGAGUACAGUAGAGGUGGGCGGAAUUCGUGGUGUAGCGGUGAAAUGCUUAGAUAUCACGAAGAACUCCGAUUGCGAAGGCAGUUCACUGGACUGCAACUGACACUGAGGCUCGAAAGUGUGGGUAUCAAACAGGAUUAGAUACCCCAGUAGUC
rnacentral:rRNA from 1 species